CAAGCACAGCCAGUGGGGCAGGCUAGAGCUGAGCCUGACUGAAGGGAGGACAGGAAGGAUGCAGAAGUCUGAAGUAAGGAUGAAGGCUUCUUCUACCUACAUUUGAAUCUCUCCCUUUAAUGAGCACAUCAGGAAAACACACAGAGAGAGAACCACAGUCACAUACAGCUGCCAAAAAUAUUGCUAACAUUAGUAUAAAUACAUUUUAAUGAUCAGAA